rnacentral:misc_RNA from 1 species
GAUUAAGAACGCAGCGAAAUGCGAUAAGUAAUGUGAAUUGCAGAAUUCAGUGAAUCAUCGAAUCUUUGAACGCACAUUGCGCCCGCCAGUAUUCUGGCGGGCAUGCCUGUUCGAGCGUCAUUACAACCCUCAGGCCCCCGGGCCUGGCGUUGGGGAUCGGCGGAGCCCCCCGUGGGCACACGCCGUCCCCCAAAUACAGUGGCGGUCCCGCCGCAGCUUCCAUCGCGUAGUAGCUAACACCUCGCGACUGGAGAGCGGCGCGGCCACGCCGUAAAACACCCAACUCUUCUGAAGUUGACCUCGAAUCAGGUAGGAAUACCCGCUGAACUUAAGCAUAUCAAUAAGCGGAGGA